rnacentral:rRNA from 1 species
AAAGCCAAGGAAUCUGCCUGGUAGUGGGGGAUAACGUCCGGAAACGGGCGCUAAUACCGCAUACGUCCUGAGGGGGAAAGUGGGGGAUCUUCGGACCUCACGCUAUCAGAUGAGCCUAGGUCGGAUUAGCUAGUUGGUGGGGUAAAGGCCUACCAAGGCGACGAUCCGUAACUGGUCUGAGAGGAUGAUCAGUCACACUGGAACUGAGACACGGUCCAGACUCCUACGGGAGGCAGCAGUGGGGAAUAUUGGACAAUGGGCGAAAGCCUGAUCCAGCCAUGCCGCGUGUGUGAAGAAGGUCUUCGGAUUGUAAAGCACUUUAAGUUGGGAGGAAGGGCAGUAAGUUAAUACCUUGCUGUUUUGACGUUACCAACAGAAUAAGCACCGGCUAACUUCGUGCCAGCAGCCGCGGUAAUACGAAGGGUGCAAGCGUUAAUCGGAAUUACUGGGCGUAAAGCGCGCGUAGGUGGUUCAGCAAGUUGGAUGUGAAAUCCCCGGGCUCAACCUGGGGAACUGCAUCCAAAACUACUGAGCUAGAGUACGGUAGAGGGUGGUGGAAUUUCCUGUGUAGCGGUGAAAUGCGUAGAUAUAGGAAGGAACACCAGUGGCGAAGGCGACCACUGGAACUGAUUACUGACACUGAAGUUGCGAAAGCGUGGGGAGCAACAGGAUUAGAUACCUGGUAGUCCACGCGUAAACGAUGUCGACUAGCCGUUGGGAUCCUUGAGAUCUUAGUGCGCAGCUACGCGAUAAGUCGACGGCUGAGAGUUACGGCCGCAAGUUUAAACUCAAAUGA